GAUAUAAUGAAAAUUUUUAAUGAAACUUCUACGACAAAUACAGACGUGACAAAUGAUGCAUUGCGGAGUAUUUUACACCAUAUAUCGAACAUAGACCAUAACUCAAGCGUGUAUUUAGUUCCAAAUAUAUCUGCGUAUAAUAUUAAAAAUAAUUACGUACUAAAUAAUAAUAAUUAUAAAGAAAUCUUGAAUUUAAAUUCGUUUACAAAAAAAGACACACUACCAAUUUUUUUAAGUGCACGACCAUUACAAAAUUAUAAAAAAUCGCAAAACCGGUUAAACAUACUAUUAAAAGAAUUAAGUAAUAAUACAUUAAAUAUAAAAAAUAUCAAAUCAGAAGAUUUUUCUACUACAGAUAGUUUAAAAGAAUUCAAUAAUCUUGAAGAUAAUAAUCAUACGAAAAUAGACAUAGAAUUUGAGAAUAAAACAGAUUUUAACAAAGGAUUACAAAACGUUAUUAAGAUAAAUAAUAAUAUUAAAGGCAAGUAUUAAUAAGCGCAAUAAUUUCUUAU